CUUGGUAAGCCGUUACCUUACCAACUAGCUAAUACGGCGCAGGUCCAUCUAUAAGUGAUAGCAAAGCCAUCUUUCACUAUCGAACCAUGCGGUUCGAAAUAUUAUCCGGUAUUAGCUCCGGUUUCCCGAAGUUAUCCCAGUCUUAUAGGUAGGUUACCUACGUGUUACUCACCCGUCCGCCGCUAACGUCAAAGGAGCAAGCUCCUCGUCUGUUCGCUCGACUUGCAUGUAUUAGGCACGCCGCCAGCGUUCAUCCUGAGCCAGGAUCAAACUCU
rnacentral:rRNA from 1 species